rnacentral:sRNA from 1 species
UAUUAAACUUUCAGAUCUGCCAUUAACAUUUUCAAGACGAAGUAUCAUGGACAGUAUUGAAGGAUUACGUACUAUAAAGGAAUACUCUAAAAUCUGCCGUUAACAUUUUGAAGACGAUGAAGUAUUGUGGACUAGCUACUACACAUGGAAGAGUAGAGAGUGCAUUAA